rnacentral:misc_RNA from 1 species
AGCUGAGCUACGGCCCCUAAAUCAGGAUAAAGCGUUUAAAACGAUCAAAAGAGGGAUUACAAAAUCUAUAUAACUCAAAGCGAUAUGAUUGAACCGAUAGUUUCAUAUAGGCAUUGACGUCUAUGAGCAUUUGGAAUUUAUAUCAACCAAAUGGACGCUGUAAAAAUCACUUUGCAAGGAAUUUUGACUCCUUAGUAUUUAGCAUUUGAACUGUUUUUUUGCCAUUAAUUUGCUUUAACUUUGGAUUACUCACACAAAAGCAAUAAGCCUGCCAAUUUUGAUAAGCUUUUUAGAAGCAAUCUUUUUAGAAGUACUUAUUUUUUAAAAGCACUUAUGAAAGUAAUGGAUAAACUGGUGGGCCUGGGAGGACUUGAACCUCCGACCUCACGCUUAUCAAGCGCGCGCUCUAACCAACUGAGCUACAAGCCCUCCGGGAUAAACCGGAAAACCUUCCCCGGCAUCCUCUUAUAAAACGCUUAAAUUUUAUCAAGGAAAGCGUUUUUCAAAGCCCACGGUGGA